rnacentral:lncRNA from 1 species
AUUAUUUCCCCUUUGGGAUUUGGUCGUAGGAAUCUGACACUCUGGUUUGAAAAAGUUUCACACAUCGAUCUUUGAUUCUGAAAUAACCAACAAUACCACGUAAGGAGUGCAAAAAUAAUACAAUAUGGUAGCAGAAAUCAAUUCUCAAAAAAAAACAAGAAGUACAUAUAAUUUCCAAAACACAAAUUCAAACAAAGCAUAGAAAACCCAGAUCAGAAACUAGAAGCAUUGGUCAAAAAUACAAAAAUUAACACACAGCACAGAAAACCCAGAUCAGAGAAUUAGAAGCACUGGUCAAAGACACACAAAUCCACACGGAGAAAAGAAAACCCAGAUCAGAAAAUUAGAAGAAUUGGGUAAAAGAAUCACCUCUCUUGGCCAGCAGUGUCCCAAAUCUUAGCUUUGAUGACCUUUCCAUCAACAGUCAAGCUUCUGGUAGCGAACUCAACACCGAUUGUGGACUUGGACUCGAGGCUGAAUUCGUUUCUGGUGAAUCUAGAGAGCAAAUUGGACUUUCCAACGCCUGAGUCUCCAAUCAGAACCACCUUGAAGAGGUAAUCAUAGUCAUCCUCAGCUCUGUACCCAGCCAUCAAUGCUAAUAGCAUAAUACUGAUACCAAUACUACUCUCGCCCUAUCCCUAUCCCUAUCCCUAUCCCUAUCAACCUCUAUGGACUAUGGAGUAUGGAGAUGUCUACAGAACUCUCUGUAUGUUUUCUGGCUAAAAUGGUAUGGUUUUGGGAAAUUUUGAGUUGGUUCUCUCACUCUAGAACUUUUGCUUUCGGUGUUUUAACCCUUGGUCGAGUUGGGAAUGGGAAAGCCCGCUGUCUGCUUUCCUGGAUGCCAUAAAAGGGCCAGUAGAGAAAAGGAGUCUUAUAGGUGUGACCCAAUAAAUUGGGUUUGGGCCACUUUAGUGGUUUUGUGGGCCUAUAUUAGUCCAAUUUACUAUCCGAAUUGUUAAUUUGAAAAGUUUAUUGAGCAAAUCAUCUAUACAAAAAGUUUGAUUAAUAACAUCAGUUGAUACGUAGUAUAUCCACAUUUGUUUUAAAAAAAACGAACGACAAAUAGGAGUCUUAAAAUAAACUACUAUUAAGAUAAAUAUAAUCCGAUCACGUGCUAUCGAUGUCAGAUUAAUUUAAUUAUUUGGAUUGAUCAUAUACUCAGCAAAAUAUGCAUAAGGGAUGAAUUGAAUUAUAAAUAUGAACCAAUGGCACUAUGAGGAUGUUCUUGUUCUGGCACUCGUAAAUCCCAAAUUUAAUAAAUUUAGGGCAGUUGUUUUGAGAUAAGAACUGUCGGAUUGAAGUUACAAUAUAUGUGGGCCAUAAUAUAGUGUUAUUUUUUUUUGAUAGGUAAAAGAAAAAUUUUAAUGAUUACCAGACUAAUACAAAGGAAAAAGAAGUAGAGAAAACGUUGAGAUUUGGAUCAAAAUUCACAACAAAACCCUCCCCACUAGUAUACCACAAGUGCAAAACACAACCCUAAACCAAAGUAAAACAGAGGCCUAAGUCUUAACAAAGCCAAAAACAAAGCAAACGUUUCAAAGAGAGGAAAAACAUACUCAAUCCAAACACAUCAUCGUUUUCUAGCAGUCUGGAAGAAAAUAGCUUCAAUGAAAGCUUUCCAUAUUACAUAGUACUGCCAUAAAAGAUUACCUCCACAACAAUUUUUUACUUUUUUUUUCAAGCCUUAAAUUUUUCUAAAGCACAAGUCUCAAAGCCACUAGAUCUUAGGCAUAAAACCAUUUGAGGACCCACCUAGCCUGCAUUUUGACCAAAAAAAAUUCCCAUGAAAAAAGACAGUGAAGAAGAUAAUGAUCUUACUGAUCCUCCUCCAAACCACAGAAAUGCAAAACACUACCGUUACAAACUGACAUUCCUUCUCAAAGCAGUCCCCCGGUAGCAAUCUAUUUUGCAUUGCUAAACCAGCAAAAGACUUUAUCUGAAGAGGCCAUAGAAUUCUCAUAUAGAUUUAACUCACAGAGUCAGAUCUGUCUUAUUUCUAUAGGGGAUUAUAGAGAAAAGUCCCCAAGGUCCCACUUCCAUUACAAGCAAUCACUUCUAUCUUGAAACUGUCUGAAAUCAUUUUCCAAUUUGCAGCAUUGCUCCUGUAAUAUUCAUACUAUCGGCUGAAUAAUCUCCUUCUAACAUGAAAACUCCACUGGUUGUGAUAGGAAAAAUAUCAAAUACAGCGCUUGGAAGAAUGCUUUGCAGCCUGUACACAAAGUCAUUAUAGGAAUAUCUUUACGAGUCCCCGUUGAUCUAACCAGAAAAGCCGUCCUAAUUUUAUAAAGCUCCCCAAUCUAACAUCCAUAAAGGGUUAUUUUAUUCCUUUUGAAAAGAUUUCGUUCCUAGUAAGCCAAACAGUUUAAUAUGGUGUUUGUUGACUCUCUCUGAGGUUGGGAAAUGUAUACGAUAGAUUUGUAAUCCAUUCAAAUUGGCCGAAUUUAAAUAUCCCAUUAUUACAAUUCAAGGGGUACGAUUAGAUUGACGUUACUAAAAUAAA